CAACUCUGGCUUCCCUUCAGAACGCAUAAAUCUUUCGCCUUUUACUAAAGAUUUCCGUGGAGGGGAGCAAUUGAUGAGUCUAACUCAAUUUUUCGUGCUCUUGGCUUCGGUCGAGAC
rnacentral:snRNA from 1 species